UUAUGUAUUCAUAUUUAUGAUAAAUAUUUUUUUGUUUAUUCGAAAUAAUGUGUUCUGCAAAUUUAAUUAUAGACUGGGGUAUUGUUACCUAUCUGCACUCAAAUUUGUGAAUUAUUUGCUCUACAACUAUAUAUUACGUUGACCUAUUUGAAUAUUAAUUGAAGUAUAAUUUUUUAUUACAUGAUUUCAGAUGACUAAUAUUAUGUACUAUCUUAUUUUUAAUGAAUAAUUCUUGCAAAUGUUUUUUUUAUAUAUAUGCGAAUUUCUGACUAAUUAGUUGUUAGUUGUGUUUUAUUCAAAGAUUUUGUUGAGGAACCCCCAAAAUCAACUCAGAAUGCAUUAGCUCUGGCAGAUAAACUAGAAGGAAGUAAACGUCGGGGGAAGAGUGAAGUGCCAGACUGUGAAAGGGAGAGGCUCUGGAAAAAAACAAGUUUCCUCAAAAACACCAAAAUGAAGAAGGCAAAGGGAAGAAGAAGCAAAGAAGGACUACGAAUCCAAAGGGGGUGACAUGCAACUAUGCAAGCGUAGUAUGCACCUAUAUAUUGAUGUAUUUUAAUGCUGAUACGAAUAUUCAAUAUUAUAUAGCUAUGUAUUCUAAAUAUAUUUAACAUUGUUCA